UUAAGCGACUAAGCGUACACGGUGGAUGCCCUGGCAGUCAGAGGCGAUGAAGGACGUGCUAAUCUGCGAUAAGCGUCGGUGAGGUGAUAUGAACCGUUAUAACCGGCGAUUUCCGAAUGGGGAAACCCAGUGUGUUUCGACACACUAUCAUUAACUGAAUCCAUAGGUUAAUGAGGCGAACCGGGGGAACUGAAACAUCUAAGUACCCCGAGGAAAAGAAAUCAACCGAGAUUCCCCCAGUAGCGGCGAGCGAACGGGGAGGAGCCCAGAGCCUGAAUCAGUGUGUGUGUUAGUGGAAGCGUCUGGAAAGGCGCGCGAUACAGGGUGACAGCCCCGUACACAAAAAUGCACAUAUUGUGAGCUCGAUGAGUAGGGCGGGACACGUGGUAUCCUGUCUGAAUAUGGGGGGACCAUCCUCCAAGGCUAAAUACUCCUGACUGACCGAUAGUGAACCAGUACCGUGAGGGAAAGGCGAAAAGAACCCCGGCGAGGGGAGUGAAAAAGAACCUGAAACCGUGUACGUACAAGCAGUGGGAGCCUCUUAAUGGGGUGACUGCGUACCUUUUGUAUAAUGGGUCAGCGACUUAUAUUCUGUAGCAAGGUUAACCGAAUAGGGGAGCCGAAGGGAAACCGAGUCUUAACUGGGCGUUAAGUUGCAGGGUAUAGACCCGAAACCCGGUGAUCUAGCCAUGGGCAGGUUGAAGGUUGGGUAACACUAACUGGAGGACCGAACCGACUAAUGUUGAAAAAUUAGCGGAUGACUUGUGGCUGGGGGUGAAAGGCCAAUCAAACCGGGAGAUAGCUGGUUCUCCCCGAAAGCUAUUUAGGUAGCGCCUCGUGAAUUCAUCUCCGGGGUAGAGCACUGUUUCGGCAAGGGGGUCAUCCCGACUUACCAACCCGAUGCAAACUGCGAAUACCGGAGAAUGUUAUCACGGGAGACACACGGCGGGUGCUAACGUCCGUCGUGAAGAGGGAAACAACCCAGACCGCCAGCUAAGGUCCCAAAGUCAUGGUUAAGUGGGAAACGAUGUGGGAAGGCCCAGACAGCCAGGAUGUUGGCUUAGAAGCAGCCAUCAUUUAAAGAAAGCGUAAUAGCUCACUGGUCGAGUCGGCCUGCGCGGAAGAUGUAACGGGGCUAAACCAUGCACCGAAGCUGCGGCAGCGACACUAUGUGUUGUUGGGUAGGGGAGCGUUCUGUAAGCCUGUGAAGGUGGCCUGUGAGGGUUGCUGGAGGUAUCAGAAGUGCGAAUGCUGACAUAAGUAACGAUAAAGCGGGUGAAAAGCCCGCUCGCCGGAAGACCAAGGGUUCCUGUCCAACGUUAAUCGGGGCAGGGUGAGUCGACCCCUAAGGCGAGGCCGAAAGGCGUAGUCGAUGGGAAACAGGUUAAUAUUCCUGUACUUGGUGUUACUGCGAAGGGGGGACGGAGAAGGCUAUGUUGGCCGGGCGACGGUUGUCCCGGUUUAAGCGUGUAGGCUGGUUUUCCAGGCAAAUCCGGAAAAUCAAGGCUGAGGCGUGAUGACGAGGCACUACGGUGCUGAAGCGACAAAUGCCCUGCUUCCAGGAAAAGCCUCUAAGCAUCAGGUAACAUCAAAUCGUACCCCAAACCGACACAGGUGGUCAGGUAGAGAAUACCAAGGCGCUUGAGAGAACUCGGGUGAAGGAACUAGGCAAAAUGGUGCCGUAACUUCGGGAGAAGGCACGCUGAUAUGUAGGUGAAGCGACUUGCUCGUGGAGCUGAAAUCAGUCGAAGAUACCAGCUGGCUGCAACUGUUUAUUAAAAACACAGCACUGUGCAAACACGAAAGUGGACGUAUACGGUGUGACGCCUGCCCGGUGCCGGAAGGUUAAUUGAUGGGGUUAGCGGUAACGCGAAGCUCUUGAUCGAAGCCCCGGUAAACGGCGGCCGUAACUAUAACGGUCCUAAGGUAGCGAAAUUCCUUGUCGGGUAAGUUCCGACCUGCACGAAUGGCGUAAUGAUGGCCAGGCUGUCUCCACCCGAGACUCAGUGAAAUUGAACUCGCUGUGAAGAUGCAGUGUACCCGCGGCAAGACGGAAAGACCCCGUGAACCUUUACUAUAGCUUGACACUGAACAUUGAGCCUUGAUGUGUAGGAUAGGUGGGAGGCUUUGAAGUGUGGACGCCAGUCUGCAUGGAGCCGACCUUGAAAUACCACCCUUUAAUGUUUGAUGUUCUAACGUGGGCCCCUUACCGGGGUUGCGGACAGUGUCUGGUGGGUAGUUUGACUGGGGCGGUCUCCUCCUAAAGAGUAACGGAGGAGCACGAAGGUUGGCUAAUCCUGGUCGGACAUCAGGAGGUUAGUGCAAUGGCAUAAGCCAGCUUGACUGCGAGCGUGACGGCGCGAGCAGGUGCGAAAGCAGGUCAUAGUGAUCCGGUGGUUCUGAAUGGAAGGGCCAUCGCUCAACGGAUAAAAGGUACUCCGGGGAUAACAGGCUGAUACCGCCCAAGAGUUCAUAUCGACGGCGGUGUUUGGCACCUCGAUGUCGGCUCAUCACAUCCUGGGGCUGAAGUAGGUCCCAAGGGUAUGGCUGUUCGCCAUUUAAAGUGGUACGCGAGCUGGGUUUAGAACGUCGUGAGACAGUUCGGUCCCUAUCUGCCGUGGGCGCUGGAGAACUGAGGGGGGCUGCUCCUAGUACGAGAGGACCGGAGUGGACGCAUCACUGGUGUUCGGGUUGUCAUGCCAAUGGCACUGCCCGGUAGCUAAAUGCGGAAGAGAUAAGUGCUGAAAGCAUCUAAGCACGAAACUUGCCCCGAGAUGAGUUCUCCCUGACUCCUUGAGAGUCCUGAAGGAACGUUGAAGACGACGACGUUGAUAGGCCGGGUGUGUAAGCGCAGCGAUGCGUUGAGCUAACCGGUACUAAUGAACCGUGAGGCUUAACCUU
rnacentral:rRNA from 1 species